UCCCUGGUGGUCCACUGGUUGGAACUCAGUGCUUUCACUGCUGGGGCCCAGGUUCAAUUCCUGAUCAGGGAA
rnacentral:tRNA from 1 species